AACAAUUCAAAAUCAAUUUCAAAUUCGCGUUUUGAGGUCCGAAAAUCAUCAAAAGGGAAGGCCUAAAAGCUGUAAGUUUUGAUUUCAAAUGGGGAUUUUAUUUGUUGAGAGUUUUUUCCUUUGGAGCCCUCCUUUGUGUGUUCAAAUCUAGACUUUCAUGUUCGAAUUUCAACUAUAAAUGUGGGCGAGAAGGUGAAAAGGGAAAAAAGAGAAAAAAGGGGAGAUCGAGGGAAAGGGAGCACUAGCAAGUUUUGGGAACAAAAAAGGGG
rnacentral:lncRNA from 1 species